rnacentral:rRNA from 1 species
UGGGGAAUAUUGCACAAUGGGCGCAAGCCUGAUGCAGCCAUGCCGCGUGUAUGAAGAAGGCCUUCGGGUUGUAAAGUACUUUCAGUCGGGAGGAAGGUGUCAAGGUUAAUAACCUUGGCAAUUGACGUUACCGACAGAAGAAGCACCGGCUAACUCCGUGCCAGCAGCCGCGGUAAUACGGAGGGUGCAAGCGUUAAUCGGAAUUACUGGGCGUAAAGCGCACGCAGGCGGUUGAUUGAGUCAGAUGUGAAAUCCCCGGGCUUAACCCGGGAAUUGCAUCUGAUACUGGUCAGCUAGAGUCUUGUAGAGGGGUGUAGAAUUCCAUGUGUAGCGGUGCAAUGCGUAGAGAUGUGGAGGAAUACCGGUGGCGAAGGCGGCCCCCUGGACAAAGACUGACGCUCAGGUGCGAAAGCGUGGGGAGCAAACAGG